AGUUCAAAAGAUAGAAGAAGAAGCACAAGGAAAAUCAACAAAAUUAAGAAGCGAAAUGAUAUUGUUAAGUAAAUAGAACAAUUGGAAUACCGAACGACUUUUCGAAAACUAUGAUGAUUGGGUUAAACCGAUCAUAAUUUGAAUGUUUGGAAACUAAGUUAUGGUUAUUCGGAAACUGAUGGACUUGAUCGGGUCGAAGACAUAUGAUAGGAUCAUUUCUACCUUGGUAGACUACUGGGUAAAUGCGAUCAACUGAUGGGUUAUUGUUUUUGUCUAUGAGUUUUUGAACUUUAAAAAUUAUCCUAUUUCCUUGUAAUGGAUGCCUACUAUUCUCACGAGCAGCGUAUUUGAUAGGUUCCUGAGGUUUAAUUGAAAAUUGAACGUGCAAUCAGCUGAAUGUCGAGUAAUAAAGAGGAAAUGGAAGAUCUUUUGUCGCCAAGCAAUAUCGUGAUCCAAACUGAUGAUGUAGACGAAAUCUCAGUAGUAUCGACAGAAUCGACUUCUUCUUCAUCAUCUGUGAUGAAGAAGGUGUCUGUACCUCCAUUAAUACAAGUCCCUUCAACUUCCAAACAAGCGUCCAUAAAAAGCUUUACAAAUGAAAAUAUAAUAUAGUAGAAAAACGGUUUCAAAAAAUGUGUACAAGUUUUAAAUGGAAGCUAUACAUUACCCAGCAGAAACACAUUUUCACAAAAGUUAAUUCCUAAUUUGUACAAUGAAACGCGCCGAGUUAUUGAAGCCAUUUUAAAACAAGCCAAAUUUAUACCUUGUACCACCGAUUGCUGGACUUCCAUUGCAAACAGGUCCUAUAUCUCCCUUACAUGCCAUUUUGUAGACGAAAAUAUCAGUUAGUAAGCGUUUGUUUGGGCUGUUAUGAAAUGGAUGAAGAUCAUACUGCUGAAAACUUAUGUAAUCAUAUAAAUCUUAUUUUAAACGAGUGGAGUAUUUAAGAAAAAGCAAAUACAUCGUUUACCACAGAUUACGGAAGUAAUGUAUCAAAAGCUAUUAAGGAUAUGGGAAUAGCCCAUUUAUGUUGUUUGGACAUGCAAUUAAUAUUGCAGUAAAUAAAUGUUUUGAAAAUGCAAAAGUAAGCGAAACUAUAAGUAAAAUUAAAAAAAUUCAGAAUAUUUUUGCACAUAGUUGGAAAGCUGUUAGAGAUUUAAAAAUAAUUUAGAUAAAAUACAACACCAAGGAAACAAAAAUUCCUUCCUUUUCUGAAACGCGAUGGUGGUCUCUUUUAAAUUUAAUCAAGAUAAUUGUUCAACAAGAAGUAAAUCUCUUAUAUUUUCUUACAUACCUAUAAUAAUGGACGUUACAAAAAGCUGAUACUAAACGCUGACGAUUUGAAACUCCUGAAUGUUAUCCCGGAAUUACUAACUCCAAUUCAAAACAUUUCAGAAACUCUGUCUGGAGAAACACACUUAAAAUCAGAUAUGAAAGCAACGAGAAAACUCAUAAACUAUUGCAGACUGCCACCUUCAUGGACCCACGUUUUAAAGGAUCCUUUUUUAUUUCUGCAGAAAACCAGAUAAUUGGAGAUAUAAUAUUACAACUUAGUAGCGAAUUAGAAAUAAUUCCAGUUUCUGAGAAUAGAGCUGCGACAUCAGGAAAAAAGAAAAGCGGACUUUCAUGAAUUUUUAAAUCUAUGAAAACUGUUGAAGGUAGUAAUGCUGUGGGUUUAAAUAUAAAAAUUAAAAAUGAAAUUGAACAAUAUAUGAAUAUACUAGUCAUUGAUGUUAAAGAAGAUCCACUGAUAUGGUGGAAAUAUAACGCACAUGUAUUUCCUUUUCUUCCCAAUGUACAAAAAGUUUCUCUGUAUUCAAGAUUCCAGUGUUCCAUCUACGCGAGUAUUUAGCAAAGGAAGCCAACUAGUAACUGAGCUAACGUCAGUGUCUUCCUAACGACCCUAUUGUUAUGGGUAUCCCAUGAGUUAUCAUCCCCCUAACGCUGGGGAUGAUAUCAAUGUUUUAAAACGGCAUGGUGGAUGGAAGAGUUCAUCAGUGGCUGAAAAAUAUUUGGAAAAAUUCUUCAAGAGUAAGAAGAAAAUAGCAAGAAUGAUACAAGGGGGUGAAAUUUUUUUUAAGCCAAAACCUCACAUCUUCCAGCAUUAUUGAAAAUAAAGAAGUACAUCCAGUAAUUCCUACAAUAAAUGUUUCUGGUAACAGUAGCUGCAACAUUACUGUCAACAUUCAAAAAUUGAAAUAAAAGUUUAGUUAUUGAUGUCAA